UAUAUGUGUUGCAUAGGAUGC
ensembl:piRNA 21ur-195 ncRNA